rnacentral:rRNA from 1 species
CGCUGGCGGCGUGCCUAACACAUGCAAGUCGAGCGAUGAAGUUCUUCGGAACGGAUUAGCGGCGGACGGGUGAGUAACACGUGGGUAACCUGCCUUGUAGAGGGGGAUAGCCUUCCGAAAGGAAGAUUAAUACCGCAUAACAUCUUUUUAUCGCAUGGUAGAAAGAUCAAAGGAGUAAUCCGCUACAAGAUGGACCCGCGGCGCAUUAGCUAGUUGGUGAGGUAACGGCCCACCAAGGCGACGAUGCGUAGCCGACCUGAGAGGGUGAUCGGCCACAUUGGAACUGAGACACGGUCCAGACUCCUACGGGAGGCAGCAGUGGGGAAUAUUGCGCAAUGGGGGAAACCCUGACGCAGCAACGCCGCGUGAAUGAAGAAGGCCUUAGGGUUGUAAAGUUCUGUUUACGGGGACGAUAAUGACGGUACCCGUGGAGGAAGCCACGGCUAACUACGUGCCAGCAGCUGC